AUUCCCGUAGUACAAGCAUUACAGAAGUUUUUCAGACUUCAGAUCCAAGUUAAAUUCUUGGCGGGAAUA
rnacentral:tRNA from 1 species